CACCCUCUAAUCCUCAUCUAAAUUCUACCAUCCACCAUUCAUUCUACAAACCUCCUCCUCCCUCUAACCAACCCACCCUUUUUUACCGCAAGGUAUUUUGCCGAAGCCGCGGUAAUCCUAGCUCCAAUCGCGUAUAUUUAAGUUGUAGCAGUUAAAAAGCUAGUAGUUGAAUUUCGGGAUUGGCACAUCGGUCGUGCCUUAAGGGGUAUGAACUGGUGUAGUCAAUUUCUCACCUUCUGGAGAGACCCGAUGCCCCUAAUUUGGUGUCUCGCGGAAACACGGCCUUUUCUUUGAAAAAAAUAGAGAGUUUAAAACAGGCAUUUUGCUUGAAAACCUUAGCCAGGAAUAAUAAAAUUGGGCGGCAUGAUUCUAUUUUGUUGGUUUCUAGGAUCGCCGUAAUGAUUAAUAGGGAUAGUUGGGGGCAUUAGUAUUCAAUUGUCAGAGGUGAAAUUCUUGGAUUUAUUGAAGACUAACUACUGCGAAAGCAUUUGCCAAGGAUGUUUUCAUUAAUCAAGAACGAAAGUUAGGGGAUCGAAGACGUUCA
rnacentral:rRNA from 1 species